CGCGCUAAGUCCUUCCUGUGAAUGAACGAGAAACACUCGACAGGUCGUGAAUAAUCGUUUUAAUGAGUGUGUAAAAGCGUGCGACGGGGUGCACGGAGCUGUCGGGUUAAACAAACAACUUGUACCCUGACGAAAUCCGAUUGUUAAAGUGCAAAGUGGUGUCAGUCCAAUUUCCAUCCCAGUUCUAAAAACCACAGAUCUAAGUCGCGGGAGUCCAAUUUUCCCCAUUAAAGAAAAAUAACAAUAUUUUCUGAACGUAAGUGCGAUCGUCCCUAAUGUUAGCCUUUGCUAAACAAAAAAGACCAGUUGAAUAGCCCAAGAUGUCAAACUUUUUUUCUUUUUUUUUUUUAGUUAUUUUUAAGAAUUGAAUAUAAAAGUGUGCAUUUGACAUUUUCCUAAAUAUUAUCAGAUCAAUGAGGUAAAUAUUUUCUUUUUUUUUCUCUCUCCCCCUCUUCUCCCGUGUGUGUGUUUUUUCACAGAUCACUGGAGGUAAACAUCGAAUUAAUUGGAUCUGAAUGACUGAGAUCUCUCCUCCUGUCUGCCGAGAGGGUUGAACUGUAAAUCUGUCUCAAGUGAUGCACCCCUAAACUGUAGGUGUCCGUGGAGGAAGGAGGUGACGUGACGAGAAACGCCUGACAGCCAAAGCGGGGAACUGUCCGGGAGAAGGAGACGUGAUGAAUGAGGUCUGCGUGGUCAUGAUGCAGAAGCAGAAUAGGACACUGUGCUGGCACCAAAUGCAAAUGUCUUUU